ensembl:snRNA U6 U6 spliceosomal RNA
GUGCUCACCUUGGCAGCACAUAUACUAAAACUGGAAUGAUACAAAGAAGAUUAGUAUGGCCCCUGGGCAAAGAUGACACAAAUAUUUUUAAAUUGUAAAAAAAAAAU